rnacentral:rRNA from 1 species
CAUGAAGCUGGAAUCGCUAGUAAUCGCGAAUCAGAAUGUCGCGGUGAAUACGUUCCCGGGUCUUGUACACACCGCCCGUCACACCAUGGGAGUCGGAAAUGCCCGAAGUCAGUGACCCAACCGUAAGGAGGGAGCUGCCGAAGGUGGAGCCGGUAACUGGGGUGAAGUCGUAACAAGGUACC